GUCCAUCACCGGAAGUUGUUAGCGGUCAGCAAUUGCAGCUCGCAAUCAGAGCCGUUGCGAUAUAUCUCUUUUUUUUUCCUCAUUCCGUUCGUUUCAUCGUCGAUUCACCGAUGGCACUGACAAAAAAUUGGAAUAUGGGGCGUCAGGAGGAUUUUAAAACGUUACAAGUGAGCUACGACGGUGACGUUCACUCAUUGAACUCGCUGCAAGAGUGCGUCCAAUGCCUCCGCGUCAGGUCUCCCACUCAGUCACGUCACAAGAAUGCUGGAU